rnacentral:rRNA from 1 species
UACGAAGGGGGCUAGCGUUGUUCGGAAUUACUGGGCGUAAAGCGUGUGUAGGCGGCCGUGCAAGUCGGAUGUGAAAUCCCCGGGCUCAACCCGGGAAGUGCACCCGAAACUGCAGGGCUCGAGUACCGGAGAGGUUGGUGGAAUUCUCGGUGUAGAGGUGAAAUUCGUAGAUAUCGAGAGGAACACCGGUGGCGAAGGCGGCCAACUGGACGAGUACUGACGCUGAGACACGAAAGCGUGGGGAGCAAACAGG